rnacentral:rRNA from 1 species
AUUGAACGCUGGCGGCAUGCCUUACACAUGCAAGUCGAACGGCAGCACGGGUGCUUGCACCUGGUGGCGAGUGGCGAACGGGUGAGUAAUACAUCGGAACGUACCUUAUCGUGGGGGAUAACGCAGCGAAAGCUGUGCUAAUACCGCAUAAGCCCUGAGGGGGAAAGCGGGGGAUCGAAAGACCUCGCGCGAUUAGAGCGGGCGAUGCCUGAUUAGCUUGUUGGUGGGGUAAAAGCCCACCAAGGCGACGAUCAGUAGCUGGUCUGAGAGGACGAUCAGCCACACUGGGACUGAGACACGGCCCAGACUCCUACGGGAGGCAGCAGUGGGGAAUUUUGGACAAUGGGGGCAACCCUGAUCCAGCAAUGCCGCGUGAGUGAAGAAGGCCUUCGGGUUGUAAAGCUCUUUUGUCAGGGAAGAAACACCGGCUCUAACACAGUCCGGGAAUGACGGUACCUGAAGAAUAAGCACCGGCUAACUACGUGCCAGCAGCCGCAGUAA